GACGUGGGGGGCCAGCGUUGCUCGGAAUUACUGGGCGUAAAGCGCACGUAGGCGGAUUGUUAAGUCGGGGGUGAAAUCCUGGAGCUCAACUCCAGAACUGCCUUCGAAACUGGCGAUCUUGAGUCCGGGAGAGGUGAGUGGAACUGCGAGUGUAGAGGUGAAAUUCGUAGAUAUUCGCAAGAACACCAGUGGCGAAGGCGGCUCACUGGCCCGGUACUGACGCUGAGGUGCGAAAGCGUGGGGAGCAAACAGG
rnacentral:rRNA from 1 species